rnacentral:rRNA from 1 species
CGGAAGGAUCAUUACCGAGUGAGGGCCCUCUGGGUCCAACCUCCCACCCGUGUCUAUCGUACCUUGUUGCUUCGGCGGGCCCGCCGUUUCGACGGCCGCCGGGGAGGCCUUGCGCCCCCGGGCCCGCGCCCGCCGAAGACCCCAACAUGAACGCUGUUCUGAAAGUAUGCAGUCUGAGUUGAUUAUCGUAAUCAGUUAAAACUUUCAACAACGGAUCUCUUGGUUCCGGCAUCGAUGAAGAACGCAGCGAAAUGCGAUAAGUAAUGUGAAUUGCAGAAUUCAGUGAAUCAUCGAGUCUUUGAACGCACAUUGCGCCCCCUGGUAUUCCGGGGGGCAUGCCUGUCCGAGCGUCAUUGCUGCCCUCAAGCACGGCUUGUGUGUUGGGCCCCCGUCCCCCUCUCCCGGGGGACGGGCCCGAAAGGCAGCGGCGGCACCGCGUCCGGUCCUCGAGCGUAUGGGGCUUUGUCACCUGCUCUGUAGGCCCGGCCGGCGCCAGCCGACACCCAACUUUAUUUUUCUAAGGUUGACCUCGGAUCAGGUAGGGAUACCCGCUGAACUUAAGCAUAUCAAUAAGCGGAGGA